AUUUGUUUUAUGAUGACUUUGUGAUUUACCUUGGGACACCUAUGAAAAAACAUUUGAUUAGUGUAAAUCGUUAAUAAUCUGAUGUAA
rfam:Stomoxys calcitrans breed 8C7A2A5H3J4 unplaced genomic scaffold Scaffold423, whole genome shotgun sequence.